rnacentral:rRNA from 1 species
CCUACGGGAGGCAGCAGUGAGGAAUAUUGGUCAAUGGGCGGAAGCCUGAACCAGCCAAGUCGCGUGAGGGAAUAAGGCCCUACGGGUCGUAAACCUCUUUUGCCGGGGAGCAAGGGCGGGGACGUGUCCCGGCUCGGAGAGUACCCGGAGAAAAAGCACGGGCUAACCCCGUGCCAGCAGCCACGGAAAUACGGAGAAUGCGAGCGUUAUCAGGAUUGUUGGGGUUUAAGGGGUGCGUAGGCGGGCUGUUAGGUCAGCGGUCAAAUGUCGGGGCUCAACCCCGGCCUGCCGUUGAAACUGGCGGCCUCGAGUGGGCGUGAGGUAGGCGGAAUGCGUGGUGUAGCGGUGAAAUGCAUAGAUAUCACGCAGAACUCCGAUUGCGAAGGCAGCAUACC